CAGCUGCAAUAUGACUUUACAUUAUAUUCACAAGGCAACAUUUCUGAGCUUGAAACAAUACAUUCAGAUUCAAACCAGUCAGUGACAGUCUCAUGACACAACCACAAGUGAACGUCACAGGGUGAUGUUUCUGUCCUUGAAACAGCAAGUGUAC
rnacentral:lncRNA from 1 species